rnacentral:rRNA from 1 species
UUGGAGGGCAAGUCUGGUGCCAGCAGCCGCGGUAAUUCCAGCUCCAAUAGCGUAUAUUAAAGUUGUUGCAGUUAAAAAGCUCGUAGUUGAAUUUCGGGAUCAAUGUUUCGGUCAUGCCGUUGGUAUGUACUGAUAUUAUUGGUUUCUCACCUUCUAAAGAACCGUAAUGCCAUUAAUUUGGUGUCACGGGGAAUUAGGACUGUUACCUUGAAAAAAUUAGAGUGUUUAAAGCAGGCUCACGCUUGAAUACAUUAGCAUGGAAUAAUGAAAUAGGACAUCCGAUUCUAUUUUGUUGGUUUCUAGGAUCGAUGUAAUGAUUAAUAGGGAUAGUUGGGGGCAUUAGUAUUCAAUUGUCAGAGGUGAAAUUCUUGGAUUUAUUGAAGACUAACUACUGCGAAAGCAUAUGCCAAGGAUGUUUUCAUUAAUCAAGAACGAAAGUUAGGGGAUCGAAGACGAUCAGAUACCGUCGUAGUCUUAACCAUAAACUAUGCCGACUAGGGAUCGGAUGAUGUUAAUUUUUUAAUGACUCAUUCGGCGCCUUACGGGAAAC